UAAAGAUUAUGGAAACAGACUUGCCAUUUCUUAUUCCCCAGUGGCCCCAGUAAUUCUUUGAAGAAACACUUUCUAUAUUACAGGGGAUCUUCCCAACCCAGGAAUCAAACCCGGGUCUCCUACAUCGGCAGGUGGAUUCUUUAACAUGUGAGCCACCAAGGUAACACCUUUUGAGACACCUGCAACUGGAACUGCGUGAAAAAAGUGCCAGCUCCUCACACUGUGUCAACAGCCACCGGAGGGCCUACCACUUUACAACGCGAGUGUAUUACUAUUUAAAGACAAGCUUUUAGCCGAACAUCAGUGCUGCCUUCAGAGUUUAAUUACCGCCCUCCCCAUGGGGCCCAAUGAGCCAGCGACUCC